GAUGAACGCUGGCGGCGUGCUUAAUACAUGCAAGUCGAGCGAACGGACGAGAAGCUUGCUGCUCUGAUGUUAGCGGCGGACGGGAGAGUAACACGUGGAUAACCCACCUAUAAGACUGGUAUAACCUCGGGAAACCGGAGCUAAUACGGGAGAAGAUUUUGAACCGUAGGGUUGAAAAGAGAAAUUCGGUCGUUCGGGCACGAAUAGAGGGAUCUGCGCUGGAUUGGCUAGUUGGUAAGGUAACGGCUUAUCAAGGCAACUAUGCGUAGCCGACCUGAGAGGCGGGUCGGCCGCCCUGGAGCUGAGCCACGCUCCUGGGUCCUGCGGGAGGCCCCAGUAGCGAAUCUUCCGCAGAGGGCGGGAGCCUGGCGGAGCGACGCCGCGUGAGUGGUGGCGGUCUUCCGAUCGUGAUACCCGCUUUUGAGUGGAGAACAUAUGUGUAAGUAACUGUGCACAUCUUGACGGUACCUAGUCAGAAAGCCCCGGCUAACUACGUG
rnacentral:rRNA from 1 species